AUCCCAGUUGAGCUGAAAAUAUGUGCUUAUCUGAUUCAUGGGAGGCCAAUAUUGAUUGACGGAAGUUUCGCUGAUAAAUGCCUUUCUCUACUCAUUAUUUUAGGUGUUUACUAGUAACUGUCCGCACAUCC